rnacentral:sRNA from 1 species
CCCCCCGUUUGAUGUUCUGUUUUGUCUUCUGUUGUAGGAAACGGUUCGCCAAAACCGUCGGUUGCUUCGAACACACCCAAUCUACCACAGAAUUUCAAAGCGGAACUGAUAACGGGUUUUUCG